rnacentral:lncRNA from 1 species
CUUUUUGUUUAUCCAUAUAAAAGUAAUGAGACAAAUAUUGGAACCUAUGAGACAAUUAUUGGAACCGAUGAGACAAAUAUUGACAUUUGGGAAAUGGAGAAGGAUGAAUUUGGCGUUGUUUCGUGGUCGAAGCUAUUGACGAUUGACCCUCCUUUUGGAGUUGAGCAUCCAUUGUUGUUUGUAAGCUGUGAAGAACUGUUAAUGGAGUCUAGUGAAGGGCAUGUGAUUAUGUAUAACACGGCAACUCAACUAUUCAAAAAGCUUCCAAUAGAAGGGGAUGUAACUUAUGCAAAACCUCACAGAUUUGAAGCUCAUGAUCUUUUUAUUGAGAGUUUGUUAUUAGUGGAAGAGAGAAGAGAUAUGAUCAAUUAUGAUUUUUAGUAUUUUCGGGUUUUACUAUUGUAAGUCAUAUUGUUUGAUAUAUGUUUGAGUGAUAUGAGUUUUAGUAUUUUGUCAAACUAGUUUAAUUAAUGUUUAGAUGAAGCAAAUGAGGUUUGUUACUUUUGGGGUGGAAUGAUUAUUUUUAACAUAUAGAUUUAAGAAAUACAAAACCUAUCUAUAAAACAAUCUUUUCUUUUUAAAAUUUUUGUUGAAAUAUUAACAAAUUAAGUCAACAAAAUUAACAAAUGAAUAAUGAUUGAUCCUAACCACAAUAAUUUAAAUAGAAUUAGCAUAAUGAAUUUGAAUGCAUACUAAUAAUUAGUUUUUUCUUUAAAAAAAUAUAUACAAUAGAAUUAUUAUUUUUAUUGUUGGCUAAUGAAUAUCGGUUUGCUUAUUUCGUUCGUGGUAGCAUUGUUAAGAAACCCUUAAUUAUAUCAUAAAGUAUAAAUCAAUUUCAUUAUUAUGAUAUAUUAAUAAUAGUCUAUAUUGAAUACUCAUAUAUAUUAUUGUUAAUAUUGAAAUGUAUUUAGUGUUACAAAUUAGAUAAUUCCGUACUAAAAUCCUUGGAAACAAAACUUUUCAAGGAAAAGAAAUAAAAUAUGAAUAUAAAUUGGGAAUUCUUAUACACUAUGUAGUUACUAAUAAAUAAUGUCACUUUUGCAUUAAUUUUUUCAUUUGCACUUUGGAGAAAAAUCACAAAAAAAAAAAAAAAAGAAAGAACAUCUUAAAUUUUAUUAUUUGUGAGUUGCUUUUUUUUUUUUUAAAUUUAAUUUAGAAAGUUCGGUCAUCAACUUUCAAAUACCACACAUGGUGAUGGUGAUCGCUGUAGGCCUAUCUCUAACGCUCAUUUUCAACAACUUCAUCGAUGACCACCUUGACCAACCUUCGAUUGCCACUUACCGACCUUAAAAAUAUUGAUUUAAACAUUUUUAGUAAAUAAAAAACCAAACUUUUACUUUUAAAAAUAGUUAUUAAACACAUUUGUGUUUCUAUUUGAAGAAGUAUCUAUCAGAAGUGUUUAGAUAGAAAAAUUAAUUUUGAAAAAAAACGUUUUUUUCCGAGGAAUUCAAAUUACGCACUUUGUUUAUUCAUGAUAAUAAAAUCCUUUUCUCAUUCUUCUAAUUUCUUUUUCUUUUGAGGUCGUUUUAUUAUUACUAUUAAAUUCUCUUUUUCUCUUUCCAUUGCAAUUUUAAUUACUAUGUAGGAAGAGAAUUGCUAUUUAUUGAAUCUUAUUGUUAUAUGCGGUAGGAUAAAUUUAUUAAAAGAAGAAAAAUUGAAAUUAGCCAAUUAUUGAGGUUCCUAUUAUUAUAAUGUUGUUUUAGUUUUGCAGUUCCUAAAAUGCUUAUUUUUUUUCCUUAAUCACUCUUUUAGAAUGCAUUAUAGUAGUUAUUGAGUCCAAAUGUACUGAACUUUCUCGAUGCCCACAUCAGAAAAAUGGAAGAACAGUGUGAGAUUUUUCUUUCUAUGGGAAUUUGGAGAAAUGCCAAAGGAUGGGAGUUGCCCUUAGCAUAUGAACUGACAAACAAACAUCUCCUCUGCCCUUACAGAAGAAGACACACAAAACUUUCAACAAACCAAAUAUUAUCCUUUAGAAAUUCAAAAGUUAUAGUUUUAAAAUUUGGCUUCAUUCUUUAAAACAUUAAUACAAAAUAGAUAAUUGGUUAUUUUGUAUAUAAUAAAUUAGUUUAGUUAAUUACAUUUAAUAAUUUGUGAACAAAGAUUUAGGAUAGUUUGAACAUAAAAUAAAUGGAGGUUAGGUUGUGUGUUUGGACAGUUUUCUUUUGUUUCUUAUGGUUGGGUGCAAGUGCAAUCCAUUAAUUCCUCAAAAAAUCCCUGCACCAAUUUUUCUGUCAAAUGUUUCAUCCUUUUAGAGUUUCUGAUUUGCAAAUUUUAUUUGUUUAUUCAAUGUUCUAUUUUAGUUUAGCAAAUAUGGGGAUGGAGGGGUUAAUCGAAAGAACUUCAGAAACGGCAAUAUAGCGUGUCUUUAUCUUUCUAAAAUGCUUAUAUUAUCUUGCAAAUUAUAAUUUGACACGUAAUUGAUAUGGUUGGUGAAAUGUAAAAAAUGUCAUACCACUGUUUAGGAACGAUGGAGAUGUUACUUUGGAAUGGGAAAGUGAGAUCUAAAAAUGACAAAUUUUGCCAACUUCUUGUGUAAACAAUACAAUUCUAAUUCUAAAAAGAUUAUUAAUACAUAUUUUAACCAAACUAAGAAGAGAUUAUUGUAAGAUAUUAUUCAAUUUAGAUUCUACAGUAAUGGUAUAAAAAAACAGUGAAAAGUGUACUAUUUUGGUUUACAAGUAAAAGACAAUGUGCACAAAUAGUCACACUCACAACAGCCUCCAUGCUUUGCCUUAAAGCAUAAUUAGUAAUAGAGAUGGAGAAAGAUGCGUAAUGAUACUCAAAACUUACCUUAAAUAUCAAUCCUUGAAAAGAUUCCAUUUUUUUUAAACUUCUCUUUAUAAAAUAUACAUCUUUAUAUGUUUUGCUCAUCAACUCUUUGAUUUCAAAAACCCUUUUCCUUUAAGAAAUUGAAAUUGACAUUGACAUCAUUAUCAGAAACCAAAACAAUAAUGCAUGGCCAAAGUCUUUAGGUUUCUUACCUGCCAAGCCAAUCCCCCACUGAACUCCCAUUUUCCCCCAAGUUCAAAUAUAUAACAAAACUUGUAGCUCAUGAGGAUCAAAACGAACUUCUUUUGGUUCUAUACUCUUCUCAUUGUAGCUCUUUUCAUCACCAUUGUCCUGCGUUCAUUCCCGCUUCCCUUGACGGCUAUUAUUGCCACUGUUGGUCCUCACGACACUGCUUUUGAACUUGGCGUUUUCAGUAGUAUAGUGAAAGGGAGUGGUUUGGAUGAGAUUUUAUCUCUUGUGACUCAAUAUCUGUCCAAAACCCAAUACCAAUGGAGAGAUGAGAAAAGUUGUGAUGAGAAGAAAUGGGACUCCAAGUUGAUAUCUUUGUACAAUGUUUCACUCACUUUAACUGUUGAUUUGAAGGGAUGUGCAAAUUUCAGCAGCGUACAAACUGCAGUGGAUGCUGUUCCUGAUUAUGGCUCUUCAAGGACCCUUAUCCUAAUUGACUCUGGAAUCUAUAGGUCAUUAACUUCCAUAACACAUUUAAAUCUUCCAGCUACAUCGAUUCUUGGCAAGCGAGGGCAGUUAAAAUAUUUUGCUUUCAAUAGAAGUUUUUGAUUUUGAUGUGAUUUUAGUCUCUCUUUAACUUCUUCUAAACCAUCUUUUAUUUUCGUCCUAGAAUUUUCUAAGUCCUAUUAUUACCUUUAUCAAGUUUAGUUAAAACGUUAAAUCAAAUUUUUAUAUGGAUGUUCUUCUAGACACCCUAAGGAUCAAUGAACUACUCCUUAAUAUGAACAAAAACGUUACGUCUGUCUCGCACUUAUUGCCUUGGCCUUGGUAUAACGUUAGAGAUGUCUUGUCCAUCGUGAGAUGGUUGUAGCUCUAACUCGAUGGGCAUGACAAUUUUUUUUAAAAAAAAAUUCUCACCCUUUCGCCAAUAAUCGCCCUCGGUGGUGCCAUCCAAUUGGGAUAUUCAAACAUAGUUCUGUCACAAUUUUUGAAAAAACAUUGUGAUUUUUAAACAAGACAUGAAAUGUCCUUGAAGUAUAUGGGUGAGGUUCUUCUUGAAGUGGUACGCUUAAGUAUCGGGGUGGGAGGGAACCCGAGAGGCCGACCGGUAAAAGGGUGAAAAAAAGUGAAAACCGUGAUAGACAUUACCAUCGGGAUCGAACUACGCCUAUUUCACGAUGGGCAAGAUGUCCCUAAUGUGAUAUCAAGUCUAAGAUUGCAAGUGUGCUAUGAUAUAAGUAAAAUGUUGGAUUUCAUAUAUUUUUAAGGAGUGAAUAAUUAAUCUAGGAGUAGAACCUUUGAGAGAUGGCCAUCUUACAAAAACCUCGUAAUUAAAGGGUAUGAGGUUCAUAAACUCGCUAUUUUUUUCUUUUUUCUUUUUGUUGAGUUAAAAGAAAAAUUGUUGGCAGGGAGAAGGUAGUGAUAGAAGCCAACAAAACAAACUUGAUAAUUGAAGGUCAAGGUUACCUCAACACUGCAAUAGAAUGGAAUGACACAGCCAAUUCCACAGGAGGCACCACUUACAGCUCUUCAGUCACCAUCUUUGCUUCAAACUUCAUUGCCUACAACAUCAGCUUCAAAGUAACAAAAAAACAUCUUCCCUUUUCUUGUUCAACUCUCUUUUUGUAAGCCUCUUCAAUCGUUUUUAAAAAGCGUUUUUACGCACUUAGAAGGUAAAUCAAAAUGUGUUGUCUUUAUUACUUUUAAUCUUUAAUGACUGACUUUUCUUUUUGGGGGAAAAGAACACAGCUCCUGAGGCAACUCCAGGGACUGUUGGAGGACAAGCAGUUGCAGUUCGAAUUGCAGGAGACGAAGCUGCUUUCUAUGGAUGUGGAUUUUAUGGAGCUCAAGACACACUUUAUGAUGACAAAGGAAGGCAUUACUUCAAAGAAUGUUUCAUUCAAGGAUCCAUUGAUUUCAUCUUCGGCAAUGCUCGAUCGCUCUACGAUGUAUGUAAUCAUCAUUUCUAUAUACAAAAGAAAAAAGGGGAUUAAAAUUAGAAGAUUUGUCUGUUUUGGGUAAAUGGUUCAGGGUUGUAGGAUCAAAUCAAUAGCAAAGGAAGUGUUGGGUGGUGGGGUGAGUGGAGCCAUCACAGCUCAUGGAAGGCAAACAAGAAGUGAGGAAACUGGUUUUGCUUUCAUCAAUUGCACCAUCAGUGGCUCUGGGAAGGUGUGGCUUGGUCGUGCUUGGGGCGCUUGUGCCACCGUCGUAUUCUCUAAAACGUAUAUGACCGAUGUCGUUGCUGUGGACGGAUGGAAUGACUGGAGAGACCCUUCAAGAGACCAGUAAUAUCAGAGUCAUUUCUGAGUGUUCAAAAACAAUUUUUUCUUCUUUUUUUCACUUAAAAACAAAGUGGUGAUGUUUGUUUUUCAUUUUUAUUAUCAGGAGUGUGUUGUUUGGGGAAUAUGAAUGCUUUGGAGAUGGUGCAAAUUAUAGGUUGAGAGUGCCAUAUUCAAAGCAGCUGAAUCAAGUUGAAGCUCAGCAUUACUUGGAUGUUUCGUAUGUUGAUGGAAAUCAAUGGCUCAUCAAUCAACAAAUCAACAGUACUUUGUCAACCAUUUAAUUUCAAAUAAAUCAAUGCUUAUUUGUAACACAUAUAAUACUGCCCUUGUUCUUUGAUUGUUGAGUUCAAGUUAUUAAGUGCUAACUAUUGUUUUGCAAGUAUCUCUGUGCAUCUUCUAAUGGUGGCUCAACAUCAUCUAGUAGCCAAAUAUGGAAGCCCAACUAAGAAACCAAAUAUGAAAACAAAAAACCAAAAAGCCCUUUAGAUAAAUAUAUGGAAGCCCCAACUAAGAAACCAAAUAUGAAAAUGAAAAACCAAAAAGCCCUUUAAAUAAAUAUAUGGAAGCCCAACUAAGAAACCAAAUAUGAAAAUAAAAAACCCUAUAAAGGAUUUGUAAUUUUUUUGAAAUGAAACGUUUUAAUUGAAAAAUAAAAUAAAUAAAUAAAAAGGACCUUCGACCCAAUAUGGCAACCCAACUCAGAAACCAAAUAUGGAAAAUGGAAAAACCCUAAAGACAUAUACCAUCUUCUUCUCCAUUUCCUCCGUCAGGUUCUUGUUUCAAACAACCGUAGAUUGAUCUCCAAUCUCUACCCCAGACUCCAUUAUUUGCAAGCCUCACCAUUCUUCACGGUAAAACUUUACAUUUACACUCUUUUCUUUUCUAUUCUUUUUUAUUUUUGCUCUUUUCUCUUACACUUCAUUUUUCCAUCGCAAACACUUCAAUAAUGGUGGUUUCCGACGUUGUGAUUCAAAUUCUAUCCAAGCUUCCACCACAAUCUCUUCUCCGAUUUAAGUGUGUUUGUAAAUCCUGGUUUGAUCUUAUCAACCAUCCUAAAUUUGUAACAAAACAUUUCUUAGAUUCUUUUCCCCAUAAACACGUCCUCAUCAAACGUGCCCUCACCAAUCACUCUGGCAAACAAGAACUUGUGUUCUCCAUUCUCAAAUUUUCUCUCAAUGGAUCUGUAUCUAUUAUGGACAUCAAUUUGCCAUUCGAACAGAUUGAUCCACUUUUAGAAGUUUGUGGCCAUUCUCACGGCUUAGUUUGUCUUACGAAUGGUGAUGAUGUUUUCCUCAUUAAUCCUAUGACUAGACAGUUUCGUAAACUUCCGCCCUCGAUUCUUAUCGUUCGUGGUGGUUAUUAUGAUGAUCCUGAUUUUUACUCUGCAGUACCAUUUACUACCGGAUUUGGGUAUGGUGCAAAAUCUAGCAAUUUCAAAGUUGUUAGAAUAGUGAGUUGUCGAGGACCAACAGAAUUCACGAUGAGAGUGGAAAUUUAUGAUUUGAACAAAGAUAAAUGGAGAGAAAUUGAAGCCCCUAUGUUUUGUGGCAAUGCAAGAUUUAUACCUUCAUUUCUAAUGUAUCACGAAGGAAUAUUUUAUUGGUGGGGAGAGGGUGAAUCAAGCAGUUCUGAUUUUGAAGGAAACCAUAUUAUAACAUUUGACAUGAAUGAAGAGGUUUUUGAUAAAAUUUCACUACCGGGUGGUUAUGAUGAGAGAAAGCAUAAAACAAGUUUAAGGGUUUUGAAUAGAUCCAUUGUUCUUUUUAUUUAUCCAUAUAAAAGUAAUGAGACAAAUAUUGGAACUGAUGAGACAAAUAUUGACAUUUGGGAGAUGGAGAAGGAUGAAUAUGGUGUUGUUUCGUGGUUGAAGCUAUUGACGAUUGACCCUCCUUUUGAAGUUGAGCACCCAUUAUUGUUUGUAAGUUAUGAAGAAUUGUUAAUGGAGUCAAGUGAAGGUCAUGUGAUUAUGUAUAAUACGAAAACUCAGCUAUUCAAAAAACUUUCAAUAGAAGGAGAUGUAACUUAUGUAAAACCUCACAGAUUCGAAGCUCAUGAUCUUUUCAUCGAGAGUUUGGUAUCUGUGGAAGGGGGAAGAGAUAUGAUCAAUUAUGAUUUUUAGUAUUUUCGGGUUUUACUAUUGUAAGUCAUAUUGUUUGAUGUAUGUUGUUUGAGUGAUAUGAAUUUUAGUAUUUUCCAAACUAUUUUAAUUAAUGUGUAGAUGGAGCAAAUGAGCGUUUGUUGCUUAGCUUUCACACAAUGUAUUGCUUUUGGGGUGGAAUGUUUAUUUUUAAGAAAUUCGAAACUUAUUUAUAAAACCAUCUUUUCUUUUUUCAAUUUUUGUUGAAAUAUUAACAAAUUAAGUCAACAAAAUUAACUUGAAUAGAAUUAGGGUAAUGAAUUUGAAUGCAUAUUAAUAAUUAGUUUUUUCUUUAAAAAUAUAUAUACAAUAUAAUUACUAUUUUGAUGGUUGCUAAUAAUAUCAAUUUGCUUAUUUUGUUAGUGUUGGCAUUUUUAAAAAACCCUUAAUUAUAUUAUAUAACAACCUAUAAACCAUUUUCAUUAUUAUCAUAUAUAAUAAUAGUCUAUAUUUUUAAAUAGUGUAUUACUCAUAUUAGUGUUAAUAUUGAAAUGUAUUUCAUAUUACAAAUGAGAUCAUUCUUUUAAACAAAGCUUUUCAAAUAAGAUAAAUGAAUUAUGAAUAUAAAUUAAAAAUUCUUACACGUCAUGUAGUUAUAAAUCAUUGUUAACUAUACAAUAUUAUAGUUUUCUUUUCAAGAAAAAGAAAUCACUUAUUGUUAAUAUUGAAAUGUAUCUCAACUAUUGUUUUUCUUUUGAAAGAAAAAAAAAUCAAACAUGAACAUAUAAUGAAAAUUUUUAUAUGUCAGUAUUUACAAAUCAUUCUCUGCUGUACAGUCAAUAUAUGACUAUUAAAAAGUAUCAUAUUUUUUCUCUUUUAUAGUAUUGGUUGUUACAACACUUAUUAAUACUAUUACAAAAUUAUUUUUCAUUGUUUACAAACAUUGAGAUAUGAAUACUGUUUAUUGAAUUCUAUUCUUACACAUAUCAUUACUAUUUAUUGAAUCUUAAGGUUAUACGUCAUUAUAUGAUUACUACUUAUUGAAUCUUAUGUUAUACAUCAUAGAAUGAAUUUAUUAAAAAACGAAUAAUUGAUUUGGUCAUAAUAUAAAAUAUCAUAUUGUUUUCUAUUUAGGUUUUAUGGAUGUGAAAUAACGUGUUGUUUUAGUUUUGCACUUUCCAAAAUCUAUAUUUUUUUUCUUAAUCACACUAUUUAAAUGCAUUAUUCAUUAAAUGGAUGUAAUAUUAAUUUUUCAAAUUUAAUAUUUGUUUUACCUUUGACAAUAUUAGAAUCUCUUUUCUAAAAGCACUUCUACCAUUUUUUGUAUAAGUGACACAUUAUAAGUCUAUAUAUACUCUUGUUUCUUCAUUUAUUCUUCAUUCCAUUCACCUUCUUCUAUCUCAUUGUUUUGUUCUCUUCUAUCAAUUCUCAAUGACUCAAUCUAUUUUAAUUAUUUACUUUUUGAGUUUGGUGGUGUUCGUUAAUGGCGGCGUUCCAUUUGAGUUCUUCCAAUUCGUGGAACAGUGGGGGCCGAAUGUAUGUAAUACCGGUGCUCGUGUCUCUCCAUGUCAUACUCCGCCUCAAGCCAAGUUUACUAUUCAUGGCUUGUGGCCAAGUAAUCACAGUAAUGCUCAUCUUCUUUGUCAAUCAAAAACGAUAUAUAGCAAGGUUCCCAUCUUCUUUAAUAUUUGUAUAUGUGUGUUUUUUUCUUCUCCAUCUUUAGCGUUUAACUAAUAUAACGUUGUAACAUGCUUUAAUUUUAGGUUAUAUCACUUGAAGGACAACUGAAUAUAUCUUGGCCAGAUUUAAAAUAUGGAAAUAACGAUAAAUUUUGGGGUCAUGAAUGGGACACUCAUGGGAAAUGUUCAGAUCCUCCUUUUAGCUUAUUUCAAUAUUUCCAAAUUUCUUUGAAUCUCCUACGAAAAUUUGAUCUAUUGACAAUCUUAAAGGCUGCUGGGCUCAACCCUCAAACCUCCCAAAACCUUGCAAUCCAAAACAUCAUGGCCCCUAUUCAAAGGACAACAAAAAAGUAUCCCGGAAUCCGCUGCAACAAAAAUGUUAAAACUGGCAAGUCGCAGUUGAAUGAAAUUGUACUGUGUUUGGAAAAAGAUGGUGCUACCCUCAUCGAUUGUCCUACAUUUGUUAGUAACACUUGUGCAAAAUCAUUUGUAUGGUAGAAAGUUGGUUUGCCAUGUUCUUAACAACAAACUAUUAUAUACUAAACAAUAAUAAAUAACAUUUUCAUAUUAUUAUCAUGCAAUACCAUGUUGGUAUAAUUAUUAAUCAGACCCUCUCUCUUUCUAGUGUUUACUGAAUGAAUAUUGAUAUAAUUCCUAGAAUAAUUCUGGUAUGGAUAAGAAAUUUGAACCAGAGUUGAUUUCAAAUUCUUAGAAUAACUCUUUCUAUUUGGUUCUACAUAAUCAAAAUAAUGGUUGGAAGUCAAUCAAAGAAAAGAACAUAUAAUUUCAAAUUUCCAACAACACAGAGAAAGAGUACACAGCAUUAUUGAUAAUAUUCAAGUGGCCAUACCUAUAUAUUAUAUUAUAUAUAUAUACAUAUUUAAUAAGCUACCACCAACCGUUGCAUUAUUAGGAUACAAAAUCAAGAGCAAAAAAAUUACCAAAGAGUAAAUAAAUAAAAAGCAUAUAAUAUAACCGUAGCGUUACUGAGUCCAAAAAUACGGAACUUUCUUGAUGCCCACAUCAGGAGAAUGGAAGAACAGUGUGAGAUUUUUCUUUCUAUGAGAAUUUGGAGAAAUGCCAAAGGAUGGGAGUUGCCCUUAGCAUAUGAACUAACAAACAAACAUCUCCUCUGCCCUCAGAGAAGAAGACACACAAAACUUUCAACAAACCAAAUAUUAUCCUUUAGAAAUUCAAAAAUUGUAGUUUUAAAAUUUGGCUUCAUUUUCUAAAACAUUAAUACAAAAUAGAUAAUUGGUUAUUUACUAUAUAAUAAAUUAGUUUAGUUAAUUACAUUUAGUAAUUUGUGAACAAAGAUUUAGGAUAGUUUGAACAUAAAUUAAAUGGAGGUUAGGUUACAGUUUUUCUUGUGUUUGUUAUGGUUGGGUACAAGUGCAAUCCAUUAAUUCCUCCAUAACCCCCUGCACCAAUUUUUCUGUCAAAUGUUUCGUUCUUUUAGAGUUUCUGAUUUGCAAUUUCAUUCGUGUCUGCAGAAUGUGCAUCAUUAUCAAUAAUAGUAGUGGCCAUAUUCAGUUUUAUUAAUGGUAAUAUCUAUUUUUGUGUUCUUCUCUGUCACUCUAUCUCACAGGAGGGAUGUUGGUGGACAAGAGUUUGGAGGCAUGUAUUGUGCCAUAUUAAUUGUCAACUAAGAAUCUUAGCUUAUCGAUGCGACCCAUUACCUGUUACAAAGUCUAAUAACAUACAUCUUUCUUUAUAUUGCACAGCUCAUUUGUUGUAUCCGCUGCAAUCCUUCAAGUUUUUGGGCAAGAUAUUGCAGAGCUGCCAUUGGUUGCGACAAGUAAUGGUAACCAUGGCAAGGUCUGAGCAGUCAAUUUCAUUUCUUUUUUUGUUUUUUGCUUUUGCCUGUGACAAUUACCUUAUACUGCGUUCUUUGAUUUUUCCCUACACCAUGGCUUAUUACGAGUUUGUAAAGCAAUUUGGAAUGCUUUUGAAUUCUUCUUCGACUUUCUAAUCAAGAGUUUGCAAUCUGUUGGCCAUUCUGAUUUGACUCUUUUCUACAUGUAACGAUGAUAGGGCUACUUCCAAACAUUGUUUUCGUGCAUUGAGAGGCUGCUAGCUUUCUUGAAAGUCAAAUGCCUUGUUCUACCAGCUGCUGAAGAAGCGGAGUCCAUUUGGACUGAAAAAUUUGGUUUUGAGAGAAUAAAACCAGACCAGGUACAUACUUCAAGGAUCAUAAGAAUAGCACAUAUUCAUUAUCUGAAACGGUUUGAAUUCCAGCCACGGCUAAAUGAAAUUCUGUGUCGACUCUCUGCAGCUCAGCAGCUAUAGAAGAAGUUGUUGCCAGAUGGUGACAUUCAAAGGGACAUCCAUGCUUCAGAAAACGGUUCCGUCGUGUCGGGUUGUAGGUGCUCCCUUGUGACCAACCAUGGAAGGGUGUGAGGUUCCCUCUAAUCUCCCCCUUCCUCUCUCCAUUCCUCUCUUCCACCAUAUCAUUCUGUAGCUUUGUCUGUGUAUAGCUUACAAAGUUUUUCCUGUUUUUAGGAUAUUCAGUAAGGUGAGAGCAGUGGUAGGGUAGCUAAAUAUCCAUUUUAGUUAAUAUUACAUAUUCAAAUGUAGCUUUCUCGAACCUUCUCAUUUGCCCUUGCCCUUAUAUAGACGGUCUUGGUAGGUGAUGGUUUUAGGCAAAAACCACUAGCCAUUCUAAACACCCUUUUUCCCAUUCAUGCUUGGUAACCCAAUGCGUGCUUGUGAAUAUUCAACUGCCUAAAUAUCCCAUGUGUUUAUUAUAUAGUUCAUUGUGAGAUAGAUUUUAGGGGAUAAUUUUAUUAUUUACAAAUAGAACGACGGUUGCAAAUUUUAUUUGUUUAUUUAAUUUUCUAUUUUAGUUUAGCAAAUGUGGGGAUGAAGGGGUUAAUGGAAAGAACUUCAGAAACGGCAAUAUAGGGUGUCUUUAUCUUUUAAAAUGCUUACAUUAUCUUGCAAAUUCUAACUUGACAGGCAAUUGAUUAGGUUGGUGAAAUGUAAAAAAUGUCGGAAUGAUGGAGAGGUUACUUUGAAAUUUGGAAUGGGAAAGUGAGAUCUAAAAAUGACAAAUUUUACCAAGUUCUUAGGUAAACAAUACAAUUCUAAUUCUAAAAAGAUGAUUAAUACAUGUAUUUUUGAGUUCAAGUUAUUAAGUGGUAACUAUUGUUUUGCAAGUAUCUGGGUGCAUCUUAUAAUGGUGGCUCAACAUCAUCUAGUAGCCGAAUAUGGCAUCCCAACUAAGAAACCAAAUAUGAAAAUGAAAAACCAAAAAGGCCUUUAGAUAAAUACAUGGAAGCCCAACUAAGAAACCAAAUAUGAAAAUGAAAAAACAAAAAACCCUUUAGACAAUAUAUGGAAGCCCAACUAAGAAACCAAAUAUGAAAAUAAAAAACCCUAAAAACGAUUUGGAAAUUUUGUGAUUUUUUGAAAUGAAACGUUUUAAUUGGUCAUUUCCCUUUGUCACCCGAUAUGGCAACCCAACUCAGAAACCAAAUAUGGAAAAAGGAAAAACCCUAAAGACAUCUAUCAUCUUCUCCAUUUCCUCCCUCAGGUUCUUGUUUGAAACAACGGUAGAUUGAUCUCCAAUCUCCACCGCACUCCAUUCUUUGCAAGCCUCACCAUUCUUCACGGUAAAACUUCACAUUUACACUCUAUUCUUUUCUAUUGAUUUUAAUUUUUGCUCUUUUCUCUUACAGUUAGUAUUUUCAUCGUAAACAUAACAAUAAUGGUGGUCUCUGAUGUUGUGAUUCAAAUUCUAUCCAAGCUUCCACCACAAUCUCUUCUCCGAUUCAAGUCUGUUUGCAAAUCCUGGUAUCAUCUUAUCAACCAUCCUAAAUUUGUAAGAAAACAUCUCUUAGAUUCUUUUCCCCAUAAACAUGUCCUCAUCAAACGUGCCCUCACCAACCACUCUGGCAAACAAGAACUUGUGUUCUCCAUCCUCAAAUUCUCUCUCAAUGGAUCUGUGUCUAUUAUGGACAUCAAUUUGACAUUCCAAGAGAUCGAUCCACUUUUAGAACUUUGUGGCCAUUCUCACGGCUUAGUUUGUCUUUCCGAUUGUGACGAAGUGUUUCUUGUUAAUCCUAUGACCAGACAGUUUCAUAAACUUCCGCCAUCGAUUCUUAUCUUUCGUGGUUGCCAUCAUGACGAUCCUGAUCAUUACUCUGCAAUACCAUUUACUAUCGGAUUCGGGUAUGAUGCAAAAUCUAGCGAUUUCAAAGUUGUUAGAAUUGUGAGUUGUCGAGGACAAUCAGAAGCCAGGAUGAGAGUGGAAAUUUAUGAUUUGAGCAGAGAUAAAUGGAGAGAAAUUGGAGCUCCUGAGAUUUGUGGCAGUGCUGCAUGCACAUGUACAUUUGAUAUGUAUCACGAAGGAAUAUUUUAUUGGUGGGGAUACGGUGAACCAAGGAUUUCGGAAAGGGACCAUAUUAUAACAUUUGACAUGAGUGAAGAGAUUUUUGGUAAAGUUUCAUUACCGGAGAGCUAUGAUGACAAAAAGCAUAAAAUAGUAUUAAGGGUUUUGAAUAAAUCCAUAGUUCUUUUUGUUUAUCCAUAUAAAAGUAAUGAGACAAAUAUUGGAAUCUUUGAGACAAUUGUUGGAACCGAUGAGACAAAUAUUGACAUUUGGGAGAUGGAGAAGGAUGAAUUUGGCGUUGUUUCGUGGUCGAAGCUAUUGACGAUUGACCCUCCUUUUGGAGUUGAGCAUCCAUUGUUGUUUGUAAGCUGUGAAGAAAUGUUAAUGGAGUCCAGUGAAGGACAUGUGAUUAUGUAUAAUAAUAAAACUCAGCAGUUCAAAAAGCUUCCAAUAGAAGGAGAUGUAACUUAUGUAAAACCUCACAGAUUUGAAGCUCACGAUCUUUUCAUUAAGAGUUUGGUAUCAGUGGAAGGAGGAAAAGAUAUAAUCAAUUAUGAUUUUUAGUAUUUUCGAGUUUUACUAUUGUAAGU